UACAGAGGGUGCAAGCGUUAAUCGGAAUUACUGGGCGUAAAGCGUGCGUAGACGGUUAUUUAAGUCAGGUGUGAAAGCCCCGGGCUCAACCUGGGAAUUGCAUUUGAGACUGAAUAGCUAGGGUGCGGAAGAGGGAAGCGGAAUUUCCGGUGUAGCGGUGAAAUGCGUAGAUAUCGGAAGGAACGCCGGUGGCGAAAGCGGGCUGCUGGAUCCCCCCUGACGCUGAGGCGCGAAAGCCAGGGGAGCGAACGGG
rnacentral:rRNA from 1 species